rnacentral:rRNA from 1 species
UACGAAGGGGGCUAGCGUUGCUCGGAAUCACUGGGCGUAAAGGGUGCGUAGGCGGGUUUUUAAGUCAGAGGUGAAAUCCUGGAGCUCAACUCCAGAACUGCCUUUGAUACUGAAAGUCUUGAGUAUGGGAGAGGUGAGUGGAACUGCGAGUGUAGAGGUGAAAUUCGUAGAUAUUCGCAAGAACACCAGUGGCGAAGGCGGCUUACUGGACCGGUUCUGACGCUGAGGCGCGAAAGCGUGGGGAGCAAACAGG